rnacentral:rRNA from 1 species
CCUACGGGCGGCAGCAGUGAGGAAUAUUGGUCAAUGGACGCAAGUCUGAACCAGCCAAGUCGCGUGAAGGAAGACUGCCCUAUGGGUUGUAAACUUCUUUUGUAUGGGAGUAAAAGGUGCUACGUGUAGCUUUUUGUAUGUACCAUAUGAAUAAGGAUCGGCUAACUCCGUGCCAGCAGCCGCGGUAAUACGGAGGAUUCGAGCGUUAUCCGGAUUUAUUGGGGUUAAAGGGAGCGUAGGCGGUAGGUUAAGUUAGUUGGGAAAGUUGGGGGCUCAACCGUAGAAUUGCCGUUGAAACUGGCAGUCUAGAGUGUAGUAGAGGUAGGCGGAAUGCGUGGUGUAGCGGUGAAAUGCUUAGAGAUCACGAAGAACUCCGAUUGCGAAGGCAGCUCACUGGACUGCAACUGACGCUGAGGCACGAAAGUGUGGGUAUCAAACAGGAUUAGAUACCCGAGUAGUC